CAAGGAGUUAAAAUCUCUAAUUCGGAUUCGGCAAUUUACUUCCUUUUUCUCUCACCAUGACAUUCGUCUUGUGCCAAAAUUCGAAAUCAAUAUUAACAUCGUUGAAUAUUAUUUUAGUUAGCACCAAAGAUUUUUGGGAGCAUUUUUAACGCCUUACUACAGCCAUAUUUUUUUCGGGUGCAUUAUACAGAUCUACUUCUACGUUUUUGAAUUAUUUUGAUGGACGAUGUGCCUGAAAGAUGAUUAAUUUUUAAAAUGCAAAAAGAAUUAAACAUUAUUAUCAAUGAUAAAUGCGGUAUUGAAUGUGAAAGUGAUAGUGUUGGUGAUAAUAAUGAUAAUGACGAAGAGUGAAUUAUAGAGAGAGUUACUUCCCCUAACACUAAGUGUUAAACGCUCCCAAAUAUUUCUGAUCACUCCCUGCUUAUUAUUCGUUACACAUCUGAUAGCCAGAUCCAGUCUACAAAUGACAUUUAUGAGAUCGAAUUAAAUAUAAAUAGUUGAUAAUUGUGCAAUUACUAUAGCAUUCUUUACUAUGUUAACCUGUAAGAUCUUGACGUUUUCAUGAAGCUGUUAUCCAAUCUGUUGUCGAACGUGUAUUGUGAGAGCUUCCUUAAAGGGUCUAUAUUAAUGUCUAUGCUAUUAGAAGAGGCAUGGAUGGGGCACACACAGCAUCCUUUUCUCAAGAAAUGGAGAGUGUUGAGUGAACAAGGAUAACAACCACUUUUCAUAGAAGAGCUGGUAUCAUACUGGAACAAUCCAAGGACAGGCAGAUAUACAAAUACUGGGUGAUACUGGAUUGACAGAAUUUUACUUCAGAUGUAUCAUCAAACUAAAUGAAGUUGUAAAGAGCUGUUAUAACAUUUAAAUGUAAAUCUUAGGCUGAAUUACUAGGAGAUAUUUUCCCCGGGUGAGAUUAUUAGCAAAAUGUCUCAUUAUUUGGAAUGUGUAUAAAAUUAUUUUGCCUACAAAUUAAACAUGGAUUGCAAAGAAGUUUGCUGCAUCAAUUGACUUUAACAGGAUCAUAGUUGAUGAACGUGCAGCAGUAAAUAUGUUAUCUUGAAAUAAAAUACAAAUCAAAAAGAAGAAAAAUAUCCUUAUAGUGUUGUGAAGGAAGAAAAAUUAUGGAAAAUGAUUUAUAUGAGAACCAGGUUAAAUAUAAUGCAAAGUUUAAAAGGGUUGGUUUCCCUGAUGUGACACAGAAAGACAUAGGGAAAACAUCAUAUGACUGUAAUAUCUGUAAAAAGUCAUUCUCAUAUAAAGAUAACCUACUUACUCACAAAUACAUUCAUACAAGAAAAAAGCCAUAUCACUGUGAUAUCUGUGGCAAAUCAUUCUCUGGAAAAAGUACUAUAAAUGCUCACAAACGUAUUCAUA